CAGUCGCCACGGUAAUACAGAGGGUGCGAGCGUUAAUCGGAUUUACUGGGCGUAAAGCGUGCGUAGGCGGCUUCUUAAGUCGGAUGUGAAAUCCCUGAGCUUAACUUAGGAAUUGCAUUCGAUACUGGGAAGCUAGAGUAUGGGAGAGGAUGGUAGAAUUCCAGGUGUAGCGGUGAAAUGCGUAGAGAUCUGGAGGAAUACCGAUGGCGAAGGCAGCCAUCUGGCCUAAUACUGACGCUGAGGUACGAAAGCAUGGGUAGCAAACAGGAUUAGAGACCCCGGUAGUCCCUGUCUCUUAUAA
rnacentral:rRNA from 1 species